GGAUAAAGGGGCGAUCUACAGAAGCCAUGCAGUAUAAGGGACGUGGUGUGCUCAGCCUGCUCGGUAGAUAGAUGCCUGACACCACCUUCCUGUUCUCUAACAGGGAAGGAUGAAUUCUAGGAACAGCAGAGGUUAAGAGGAGGAAGAAGUCACUGUGAGAAAGACAGCUUCUGGGUAAGAGAGACAGAGGGGACCCGGAAAGUGGGGUGCCGGGGGCCCUGCUCUUCAAGGGGGUUUGAAGAACAAAAAAGCCACGAGGUGAGGCGGGUUCCCCUUCCCUUAUGGUGGAACAAAACUACAGUCAACUAAUAAGGUGACAAGUACAGUCGCUUAGGUACUAUUGAUUAAGCGGGGAUCCGGUCACGCAGCAAGCAUUCAUCUAGGGCAAGUGUACGGGUGUGGUCUUUCUUCCUUGUCUUGAGCCUGACCUUCAACAAAGCGUCUCCAGCCAGAGCUGUGAUGUGUUCCUGUCUUCCACCUUGACUCUGAGAGCAGACAGUGCCAAGGCCUGCAACUUCCUGGGGACCCAGCCAGGACCUCACUGUGAUCAUUGAUCUUUAUCAAGGACAGAAGAGACCUGCUUGGUGGCAGGGAGCCCAGGCCCUGGCAGUGGGCCAAUGCUGGAGCUCGAAGACAAGGCCUUCACACUGAGCUACAUCCCAGCUAUUCAUUCACUCAUUUUUAUUCUUGACAAAGACUCUUACUAAGACUCUAAAUUGCCCAUGCUGGGCUCCAGCUUACAACCCUCCUGCUUCAGCCUCCCGAGCGCUGCGUUGACAGGCCUGGCUCUGAUGGCGCCUGGGAAACGGACUCAUCAGAGGGGCUGUGAAGAGGACUCACAGGCAGGGGGCAGGAGGGGGACAGGAUGGAGACUGGGAGGCAGCGGCUGAGUGACUGCUCAGCCUGUCGUUGGUGGGUAACUGGCCGCACGGCCUCAGCCUCUAAGAACACCUUCCAAGCGGUUCCCAAGCCUCAUGGUCAGCCCACUGGAAUUUCACGAAUGGCCCGUCCUUGCCAACUCUAACUUGGCUCUCCAUGACUGUGAAAUAGCAGGGGAAAUCAGCUUAUAAGGAGAAAAGGCUGGAUUUGACUGUUUCAGAGGUCCGCGCUGCAUCCCCAGGCAAGGAAGAGGAAGGGGCGGGUUCCAGGCCUGAGGCCACGCCCCCAUGAACUGAAGACUCCCCAUAGGCCCCACCCCUUAAAGUGCUAGCGCCUCCCAACAGGGCUGCACUGGGAGCAGGCCUGGGUGUGGCAGAAACCCCUCCGCAGGCUGGCGGUUUAGGUGUGCAAAUAACUCUGGGGUCGUGGACAAAGGCACUUACAUGGUGUCCGGGGCCUCCAGACACUGCUCUUGCCAUCCCUCCAGUGACCUCAGCCAUCACAGCGAGGCAGAAGCAGGAUUACCUCUCCACCUUUGCCAGCAGAGGCCCAGGGACACAAGGGCAAAGGGAUGCCCACCCCAGGCCCGAAGUGCCCUCUCCGCCUGCCUCUCAGAGGCCACCAGCCAGGGCCUGCACCUUUCACUCUGCACCCCGAGAUGCCCGCUGUCUGGCUUCUCCGCAGCGCACAGCCCAGUGCCAGCCUGGCAGACUGUCCUCGCUUUGUACUGGGGACCCAGGGUGACACAGGGCAAAGGGCCUGGAAAGAGUGAUGCCUUGUUAGUGUUCAAGGAGAUGCAAUCUGAAGCGGUGGUGCAUCCGUCAGUCAGAUGGCGGGAUUGACGGCGCCCACGCUUGGAAAUGGUGGGACAGGCAGUGUAAUCCCAUCUCUGGGCUCAGCGCGAGGACUUCACUUACAAGGAGGCCCAGGCCCAGCGGGCCGGACCAGCCCGCAGAACAGAGGGAUGGAGGCGAGGCUAGGCUCUGACGCAAAGGUCAGCAGGGGACACCCAAGGCACACACAGGCGGGAAGCGGCCCACAGGCGCUUCCAGGAGACCCUCGGGCUGCAGAGCCGUGUCCCGGGCCCUGCACCCUCUGUUGCACCUGUGCCCUCAGAUCCCUGCAGCCGGCUGAGGCUCCCAGGCUCCAGCCUUGGUCCCCCACAGCCGCCACCAGGGUGCACACGCCAAGGAGCGGGUGUCACUUUAUUGACCUCAGGUCACGCUGGGGACACUAAAGCUCAACGAAGCUAAAUAACUGGCAAAACUAGUUUAACCAUAGGGUUUAUUCCAGAGCAGUUUGUACAGCGACCACUUCCGCACUCCGUGGCCCUUCCCAUCGGCAACCCGCAGAUGCUGAGCCGGCUGCGGGCCCCUCCGGGGCUGCCCUGGCUGCCAUCGGUGCAGUGAAUGGAAAAGCACUUUUUCUUUCUCUCUUUCUUUUUUUUGGGGGGGUUUGAGACAGGGUCUCACUAUGUAGUCCACGUUAGCCUUGAACUCGUUAUGUAACCCAGGCUGGCCUGGAACUCAUGGCGAUCCUCCUGCCUCAGCUUCCUGAGUGCUGGGACCACAGGUGUGAGGCACCAUGCCCAGCCAGAAGAGCACUUUUAGCAUCAUUACUGGUGCGGUUAGACCACACACCCCCGUCUUGCUGCGGACGGACCUGUACCCAGAGCCUGUGUGCUGGGGGUGUGGGGACUUGGCAUCUGAUCCACUCCUCUGAUCCCAGCACACUGGACACUGGAGUCCCGAAGCCAGGGGUUGCCGGGCCAGGACUGGCACCACCUGUCUUCCGGCUUCGAUUCCAGGCUCUUUCCCCAGGGGCCUGUAGGACUCUGCAGAGCAGAGCAGACUAAGACGUCGCUGCUGCACCUCAGUGUCUGCCUCGUGUGCCAGGCGGGGUGCAGAUGUCACCCUCUGAGCCUGCUGGGUGUGACUCUCCUCCCCCGAGGCUGGGAGGCCACAGGGUGUGCCUGGAACCUGGGCAGAGCUGGGCAGAGAGAAGUAAGGGUGGUGCUGGCACGGAAGCCCAAGGGGCCAGGCCAAGGGCAAGGUGGCAGGUCGUGGAGGGCAGCCUGGGAGGAGAGAGAAACUGGCCCAGAGCAGGCGAGUCCCGAGUCACAGGUGCGAGUGCCCGCUGUUUCUAGGGUAGGAUGACCUGUUCCGAAGAAAGGGUGCCCAGGCACACGGUCCCCUCUUCCUGGAAAUGCAUGACAUCUUAGCACAAGCACACACCCUGUCGUGAAAACGCGGCACUGCAGGGCCAGCCAGUGUGUCUGGG
ensembl:lncRNA